CCUACGGGUGGCAGCAGUGAGGAAUAUUGGUCAAUGGGCGCAAGCCUGAUGCAGCGACGCCGCGUGAGGGAAGAAGGAUCUAUGUAUGGUAAGCUCCAUCAGCAGGGAAGUAAAUGACGGUACCUGAGUAAGAAGCCCCGGCUAACUACGUGCCAGCAGCCGCGGUAAUACGUAGGGGGCAAGCGUUAUCCGGAUUUACUGGGUGUAAAGGGAGCGUAGACGGCAGUGCAAGUCUGGAGUGAAAGGCGGGGGCUCAACCCCCGGACUGCUCUUGAAACUGUACGGCUGGAGUGCAGGAGAGGUAAGCGGAAUUCCUGGUGUAGCGGUGAAAUGCGUAGAUAUCAGGCGGAACACCGGUGGCGAAGGCGGCUUACUGGACUGUAACUGACGUUGAGGCACGAAAGCGUGGGGAGCAAACAGGAUUAGAUACCCCUGUAGUC
rnacentral:rRNA from 1 species